CUGAUGGCGUUGCCCCAUGUAUCGUAACCUGAAUAUCAUUGGAUUUUGAACAUGGAAGUGAGACCCCAUUUUAAUGCUCCAGACUUGGUGUGACCCUAGAGUGAAAAUCUGGAGGUUGCAGGAGAUGUUGAGCGGGGAGGAGGCUUCUGACAGACAGUUUGGACAAUCAUUAUUGUGCAGAGAGCACUUCAAGCAGCUAAAUACUUGCAAUAAGCUCAACAGAAAUGUAAUGUAUUGUGAAGUCUACAUUGUAAAUUGGACUCGUGUAUAAUUAACUCUUAAUAAUUCUCUUUAUAACUCUCCAUAAUUCUUCACUAAAUAAAAUCUUGAAGUUUCA